rnacentral:rRNA from 1 species
GACGAACGCUGGCGGCGUGCUUAACACCUGCAAGUCGAACGGUGAAGCGCCUUCCUUUUUGGUGGGUGUGGAUGAGUGGCGAACGGGUGAGUAACACGUGAGUAACCUGCCCCCUUCUUCUGGAUAACCGCAUGAAAGUGUGGCUAAUACGGGAUAUUCUGGGUCUGUCGCAUGAUGGGUCUGGGAAAGAUAUUGUUUCGGUGGGGGAUGGGCUCGCGGCCUAUCAGCUUGUUGGUGGGGUGAUGGCCUACCAAGGCGGUGACGGGUAGCCGGCCUGAGAGGGUGGACGGUCACACUGGGACUGAGACACGGCCCAGACUCCUACGGGAGGCAGCAGUGGGGAAUAUUGCACAAUGGGCGCAAGCCUGAUGCAGCGACGCCGCGUGAGGGAUGGAGGCCUUCGGGUUGUGAACCUCUUUCGCCAGUGAAGCAGGCCUGCCUCGUUUGUGGGUGGGUUGACGGUAGCUGGAUAAGAAGCGCCGGCUAACUACGUG